CUCCAUAUGCAGGGGCAAUAAAAAGGUUUCACAAUGGUCGAACACAUCUUCCCCAGAGCCUACAGCACAAAAGCAGCCGCAAGCCAGAGAGCAGCUGACUCAGAGACCAGCUGAGCUGCUGCUCCACCGGCUGCAGCUCCAGCUCCCAACACAUUUAACCAUAAUUACAUGGGUCGGAUCGCCUCUGCCUCAUCACCCCAGUGUAGGGAGAGCCGUCAUGUGCCCCGUCUGCACUUACACUGCUAACAACUGGAGGAGUUAUCUCACUUUAGCAAAACAACAUACACAUGCCCAGAACAGUUUAGAAGUAUGGUCAAGUGAAAGCCUUGAGGAAUUUAAUCUAUGUAACUUCUCAACACCAACCCACCCCCCCAAAACCCAACCUCAAAGGGAUUGACUCAACUGCUGCCUUUAAAUACUUCCACAGGGAGUAGAGAUUUGUUAAUAGAUGGUUCUUGAGGCUGGCAGAGAGGGGUAUAAUAACAUCCAACAGCUGGAACUCGAUUCAGAAAAAUGCAAGACAGAAUUAAAAAACAGUUUCUGCAACUGUGCAAGUAAUUAGCCAUUGAAACGACUUGUGGGGAACUAAUGGAUUGUCCAUUAUUGACUCAAACCCAAAAACGGACUGAAUAACAUCUUAAACUGUAGGUUCAUCACCACAAGCCCAUAACCUUCACUGUGCAGGUCAGCCGAGAUGAUUUCUGCCUCCUAAUCUGACAAUAAGAUUAUUUUUAAACUCAGUAUAAAAGGAACAGAUACAAACAACUUGGGAAGCCCCAGGGCAGAAUAAGGAAACACAACUGCACCAUUUCCUUCAAACUGCUAAAAAAAAUAAUCAUGAUGCCACCUUCUUUGUUGUGCCAUUUUAGGGAACCUCAUAUCGUACAUUUAUAUCUGAACAUCUAUCAGUUCAGCCAAGCAACAGUUUGGCAAGUUCAGUGCAAGGGGAUAGGGAAGAGGAGCAUAACCCCCAUUUACUGACACGGUACAUUCCUACACAGGAUGUUACCUCAUAGAUUGGAGAACAGCUUUCUCUCGCGCUGUAUGGCUGGCAGCUUGCUUUCAGCUUUACAGUUCUAGAGGUGAUGUUCGCAGGCUGCACACAGCCUUCCUAUUUCAAAAAUUAUACUCAAAUCCUUAUUGAAACAAAGGCAAAGCAAGCAGAAGUGAAGGGCAAGCUUUACACCACCUCCUGGGCAGCUGAAGGACCAAGAUGGAAACAUUUGUUUACUGGACUCAAGACCUUCAACAGAGUUUUGCCUUUUGGAAGGCAAAUUACACCUGUUUUUCUCUAGAAGUCAGACCUAAGAGAAAUUGGAGGAAAACCUAGAUACGCCAUCCGAGGCUGAGAGUGAUCCUUCUGUGCAGGCUUGGUGUCUGAAUGGUUGGUCAGUGGUGUCAAUACUUUAGAGAAGCCGGAGAACUGUUGAUGUGUUUAGCAUCUAUCCUCACAAGUACAACAGGAGGUUUUUCAGCAGGCAGUGCUGGGUUGGUGCCAGGUGGCUCAGCACUAGGGCAGGGGUGAUGCACAGCUACCCUGACUCUGUGGGGGCACAGCUCAUGCAACAGGGGUCUGCAGAGGAUGUGCCUCCCCCACCAUCCAGAGAUCUGUUUGGGUUGGCAUUCAAUUCCCUUAUCCCUCCUCCACUCCCUGAUCAAUGGCAACAUUCAAACUUUACUGAUGAUAUUAGAAGCACAUCAAAGACAACCAUUAAGCUUU